rnacentral:misc_RNA from 1 species
GUACAAAAAUUUCGACUUCGACUGAUUCGGUGCGAGCCAUUAACUAUUCGUGGUCUUCACGAUAACUACAAACGUCUAAAAUGAUUGAGGGACCUUCAAAGAGGUUUGUAGUGAAAAGACUUUCGUUUGUAGUUGAAUAAAACUUACAGAAAAUUUAAGUGAGACCCGCGGGAGUACAAAAAUUUCGACUUCGACUGAUUCGGUGCGAGCCAUUAACUAUUCGUGGUCUUCACGAUAACUACAAACGUCUAAAAUGAUUGAGGGAC